UGGGGAAUAUUGCACAAUGGAGGGAACUCUGAUGCAGCGACGCCGCGUGAACGAAGAAGGCUUUCGCGUCGUAAAGUUCUUUUAUAUGGGAAGAUAAUGACGGUACCAUAAGAAAAAGCCCCGGCUAACUACGUGCCAGCAGCCGCGGUAAUACGUAGGGGGCUAGCGUUGUCCGGAAUCACUGGGCGUAAAGGGUUCGCAGGCGGAAAUGCAAGUCAGGUGUAAAAGGCAGUAGCUUAACUACUGUAAGCAUUUGAAACUGCAUAUCUUGAGUAGAGUAGAGGUAAGUGGAAUUUUUAGUGUAGCGGUGAAAUGCGUAGAUAUUAAAAAGAAUACCGGUGGCGAAGGCGGCUUACUGGGCUCAUUCUGACGCUGAGGAACGAAAGCGUGGGUAGCAAACAGG
rnacentral:rRNA from 1 species